rnacentral:misc_RNA from 1 species
CAAAUGCUUGGGGUAGGAAGUCGUUAUUCAAAAACUUUUGAGUGCUUAAUUUGAAACUGAAAUUGAGAGUCUGUGUUCCUUCUAAUUAUUGAAAGGGCACACUUAUUGUAGAAUUUUGUGGCUUUGCUCAAUUGUGGAAGUUGUUGCUCAUGAAAUAUGAAGGAUGAGACCAGGGACUUAAGAAGCUGUAGGAAGGCAUUCACCAUACUUUUAAGAUACAAACAAUAAGAUCAAUUGAUAUGAUAUUAUAAAUUGAAUAACAAAAAGACUUAUUUGAAAUGAUAACUUACUUGAUUACAAAAGGUAGUGCAAGUGCUUAGCAUAUUGUGUUGCCUUGAAGUAGUUUUUUCUGUCAUUUGUUAGCUAUGUAUGAAGCCUCCAACUGUAACUUCACUAAUAUUGGUCCCAUUCUUGUUGUCUCAGCUAUAGGGAACUUGCAGAUGAAG